GGGAGAAUUAGGAGCUUCUUGAACACAAAACAUCACAUCCUAGUUUUUAGGAAGAUCCUUGAGCAGCAGCAAGACAGCGCAUCAAACACCUUAUUGGCCUAUGUCCAAACGUAGGGCAUGGAGGCUUGGAUUACACGCAUGUGUCCCAGGACAACGGAAGGGGUGUCACUAGCCUAAACAGUCUGCUGUAAGCGUGGUGCGGAGAGUUUUCCAGUAAGAGGAGAGUCCUUGGCGUGAGCGGCUGCUCUCAGAAUCUCCUGCUAUUUGCAGCUCGAUGCUCUCACCUCCACAUCUCAUACCACCUUCUAUUUAAAUCAGCCACGCUUGGCAUCUUGGGUUACUACUCCCUGCUCAAAGGCCAUAAAAACAUUUAACUCUUUGAUUUGGUGCUCAUAAUUCUGAGCAUUUAUCCAAAAAAUGGUAACAAAAGAAGAAAAAAAAAUCUUUGUAAAGAUGUUAAUAGCAACAUUGUUUGUAAGAAUGAUUUUUUUAAAUUGGAAAAAAUUGAUAAUAUUCCACAACAGGGGAGUUCCCGUUGUGGCUCAGCAGUUAAUGAACCUGACUAGUAUCCAUGAGGAUGUGGGUUCGAUCCUUGGGUUGCUCUGAGGUAUGGUGUAGGUCCCAGACACAGCUCCAAUCCCAUGUUGCUGCCGCUGUGGUGUAGGCCAGCAGCUACAGCUCUGAUUUGAUCCCUAGCCUAGGAACUUCCAUAUGUCCCAGGUGCGGCCCUAAAAAGACCAAAAACAGGAGUUCCUAUCGAGGCUCAGUGGUUAACAAAUCCGACUAGGAACCAUGAGGUUGCGGGUUCUAUCCCUGGCCUUGCUCAGUAGGUUAGGGAUCCGGCGUUGCCGUGAGCUGUGGUGUAGGUCACAGACACAGCUCGGAUCCCGCGUUGCUAUGGCUCUGGUGUAGGCUGGCGAUUGCAGCUCCGAUUGGACCCCUAGCCUAGGAACCUCCAUAUGCCAGGGGACCGGCCCAAGAAAUGGAAAAAAAAAAAAAAAAAGACAAAAAACAAUAGGGACUAUAUUUUGCAAAUUGUGAUGUAGCCACUCAGCAGUACAAGGUAUACCACAGACUUUUUCUUCCCUGAACUGCUUGAGAUUAAGUGGCAGAAAUCAUGACUUUUCACCCCCAAGUACUUCAGAGUGUAUUUCCUAAGAGCAGGAAGGCUCUUAGGUAACUGCACUGCAAUGAGAACAUUCAGAAAAUUUAACAUGGAUCCAGUGCUAAGAUCCACUCCUCAGUCCAUAUUCACAUUUUGCCAGCUGUUCCAGUAACAUCCUUUACGCAAUAUUAUUCUUCCCACUACAAAGCACAGCCUUCAUGUAGUUGACAUGUCUCUUUGUCUUUAAUCUGGAAGUUGGUGGGGUUUUUUACUUUUGUUUUUUGUUUUUGUCUUUUUAGGGCCGCACCCGAGCCACAUGGAGGUUCCCAGGCUAGGGGUCCAAUCAGAGAUGUAGCCGCUGGUCUACACCACAGCCACAGCAACACCAGAAUGGAGCCUCGUCUUUGACCUACACCACAGCUCACAGCAAUGCUGGAUCUUUAACCCACAGACCAAGGACAAGGAUCAAACCUGCGUCCUCAUUUUUUUUUUCCCCUCUGACAUUUUUUAAGAUUUAGGCCCAUUACUGUGUGGCCUGUCCCUCAUUUUAAGGUUGUCCUAUGUGACUUCAUGAUCCACUUCUGCUUAUGCAGUUGCGCACAGGAUGUCAAUUCAUUCCUUCUCCAUGACGCUGACAUUGACUCCACUGAAUUUUCUCAUUAUAAGGCUUCCUUUUUAACUUUAUAAUUAAUAAGUAAUCUGUGGAGUUAUCCUCUUUUCUUUUUUCUUCUUUUUUUUUUUAGGGUCACACCUGCAGCAUAUGGAGGUUCCCCGACUAAGGGUCUAAUCGAAGCUGUUGCUACCAGCCAUGGCCACAGCCACAGCAAUUCCAGAUCUGAGCCUCGUCUGUGACCUAUAGCUAAUGGCAACACUGGAUCCUUAACCCACUGAGCAAGGCAAGGGAUCGAACCUGCGUUCUCAUGGAUGCUAGUUGGAUUCAUUUUCGAUGCGCCACAACAACACGGGAUCCCAGCCGACCCCUAGCCUGGGAACCUCCACAUGCUGCGGGUGUGUGUGGCCCUAAAAAGACAAAAAGACAAAAAAAAAAUAAAAAUUGGAUUUUAGUUUUUCA
rnacentral:lncRNA from 1 species